GGGGCUGUGGCUUAGUGGUAGAGCGCUUGCCUAACAUGCAUGAGGCACUGGGUUCGAUUCUCAGCAUCACAU
rnacentral:tRNA from 1 species